rnacentral:rRNA from 1 species
UACGGGGGAGCAAGCGUUGUUCGAGUUUACUGGGCGUAAAGGGCGCGUAGGCGGCCAGCACAAGUCAGUUGUGAAAUCUCCGGGCUUAACUCGGAAAGGUCAACUGAUACUGUGCGGCUAGAGUGCAGAAGGGGCAACUGGAAUUCUCGGUGUAGCGGUGAAAUGCGUAGAUAUCGAGAGGAACACCUGCGGCGAAGGCGGGUUGCUGGGCUGACACUGACGCUGAUGCGCGAAAGCCAGGGAGCGAACGGG